rnacentral:rRNA from 1 species
CGCCCUUCAGAGGGGGACAACAGUUGGAAACGACUGCUAAUACCGCAUACGAUACAAUCUCGGCAUCGAGACUGGAUGAAAGGUGGCCUCUAUUUAUAAGCUAUCACUGAAGGAGGGGAUUGCGUCUGAUUAGCUAGUUGGAGGGGUAACGGCCCACCAAGGCGAUGAUCAGUAGCCGGUCUGAGAGGAUGAACGGCCACAUUGGGACUGAGACACGGCCCAG